AGGCUGCCCCCAGCCCAGUCCGGAGCUGGCCUGUCUCCCAGCCCAGUUUCCUUCCCUGAGCUUUAGGACGGGUCCCGCCCGGGGCUUGGAAGCCCACAACCCUGCGGCAGCAAAAGGCAAAGGGCGGGAGGAGAGCUACAAAGGAGGCCGGUGGCCGCAGCCAGAGUCAGCCCCCAGCCGUGGGUAACCUUGGAGGCGCCCUCGAACAUUAAAAUAACAGCUUGGUCUCGGCCAGCAAGUGAGCAAAGGUUAUCCCAGCUACCACAGCACCUGCAGAAGCACAAGUGGAACUCACACAUUUUGCUUCCCGUGUUCUAAAAUGGAUUCUGAGCCAUCCAGAGAAAUCCGCACAGAGGGGAACCUGAGAACAGAGGUGUACAUAUUAAAAAUUACACAGGUGAGCUCCUUUUCACUGAUGAUCCAGAGAGGAUGUGAGUUAAAAUCUUAGAACCGAAAGCACCGAACAGCUCCUACUUCUGCCUGAUUCUCUUGAAAGACCUUGUAGCAUAAUCUAAGGUCAGCAAAUGAAGUUUCUGGCUACCAACAUAAAAGAACUUUAAGAAUCAGUUCCCUGUAGGGAAAAAUAACAUCUCAAAAUAAAAGGAUGGAAAUAGCACACAUUUUUUUAAGCAGAAAAUAUUAUACAGAGGAUCAAGCAACAGAAUAUACUGAAGAAAAAUAAGAUCAAAGCAUUGGACAUAAAAAACAACCUCCAGAAUGACAAUGAUAUUAAAUCAGCUAACAGAAAUGUCACCUCUCACAAAUUCACAAAAUUCAUUUACUGAUUUGAAGAAAAGGAUUUCCAAGAAAAACUAUUUAAAUCUCCUUCCUUUAGAUCAAAAGAUUACUGGAAAGCAACAUGAAUAUCCGGAAAAAAAAAAAUCCAGUGGUCUCUGUGUGGGUCUCUGACAGCAAUUUUUUAAAGAUUUCUGAGAUUGUUUCAAUGUAAUUGUGCAUAUAUUAGCAUUUUGAAAAGGUUCUCCAUAAAACCUUGGAUUAUACAGAAUUGUGUCAUCAUUUGCAGACUAA
rnacentral:lncRNA from 1 species